CUCAUCAAAACAACCGCUAUUUUGAUACUUUAAAGAUAAUGAGUUAUAAAGAGUUAAUUUUAAUAAAUGAAGCAUUUUUUAUUUGUUAAUAAAUAAACCAAUGCCGCGAGAAGGCGCUGUUGAGUUUGACAGAUGAAAACGCUUCCCUGGCUUGAACAUGCGCUUCGUGACAUGCCUGACGUUUUUACUAAUGUAUGCCAGUCUAUGUUCCGCAGUUGUGAAUCUUGUAUCUCUGUUAGUGAUCGCUCUUUCGAGCGGCUAUUGUAAACUGUUUGAUAAAUUGUUGCUUUCCUUUGUCUUUACUUGUCUUUGCAGUUACCUUUUGUUAAUACUGUUUUACAUGCUAACACUUCAACGCUGUAUUUUUGCACCCUACAUUCUUAUACGAAAUCUGCUUAUUUAGGUUCCCUCUGUCUUUUCAUUUCUGACAUAUAGUUUUGAAACACCC
rnacentral:lncRNA from 1 species